AUUGAACGCUGGCGGCGUGCCUAACACAUGCAAGUCGAGCGGUAACAGGUGUAGCAAUACAUGCUGACGAGCGGCGAACGGGUGAGUAAUGCUUCGGAAUCUACCCAAUGGUGGGGAAUAACCAGCCGAAAGGUUGGCUAAUACCGCAUACGUCCCACGGGAGAAAGCAGGGGAUCGCAAGACCUUGCGCCAAUGGAUGAGCCGAAGUCGGAUUAGCUAGUGGUAGGGUAACGGCCUACCAAGGCGACGAUCCGUAGCUGGUCUGAGAGGACGACCAGCCACACUGGGACUGAGACACGGCCCAGACUCCUACGGGAGGCAGCAGUGGGGAAUAUUGGACAAUGGGGGAAACCCUGAUCCAGCGACGCCGCGUGUGUGAAGAAGGCCUGCGGGUUGUAAAGCACUUUUAGUGGGAUGAAAUGUUCAGGGUUAACACCUCUGGAUUUUGUACCUAACCACAGAAAAAGCACCGGCUAACUCUGUGCCAGCCGCCG
rnacentral:rRNA from 1 species